rnacentral:rRNA from 1 species
GAUGAACGCGGCGGCGUGCCUAACACAUGCAAGUCGAACGAGAUGCUUAUCGGAAAGCUUCGGCCGGAAGAUAAGUUAUCUAGUGGCGGACGGGUGAGUAACACGUGGGUAACCUGCCUUAUGGAGGGGGAUAACAGAGAGAAAUCACUGCUAAUACCGCAUAAGCACACAGUACCGCAUGGUACAGGGUGAAAAGAUUUAUCGCCAUAAGAUGGACCCGCGUCUGAUUAGCCAGUUGGCAGGGUAAAAGCCUACCAAAGCAACGAUCAGUAGCCGAUCUGAGAGGAUGACCGGCCACAUUGGGACUGAGACACGGCCCAAACUCCUACGGGAGGCAGCAGUGGGGAAUAUUGCACAAUGGGGGAAACCCUGAUGCAGCGACGCCGCGUGAGUGAAGAAGUAUUUCGGUAUGUAAAGCUUCUAUCAAGCAGGGAAAGAUAA